rnacentral:rRNA from 1 species
AGAAUCAACGCUGGCGGCGUGCCUAACACAUGCAAGUCGAACGAGAAAGUGGGAGCAAUCCCAUUAGUAAAGUGGCGCACGGGUGAGUAACACGUGACUAACCUACCCUUGAGUGGGGGAUAACCUAGGGAAAACCUGGGCUAAUACCGCAUAAUACCUACGGGUCAAAGGAGCAAUUCGCUUUAGGAGGGGGUCGCGGCAGAUUAGUUAGUUGGCGGGGUAAUGGCCCACCAAGACAGUGAUCUGUAUCCGGCCUGAGAGGGCGCACGGACACACUGGAACUGAAACACGGUCCAGACUCCUACGGGAGGCAGCAGUGGGGAAUUUUGCGCAAUGGGGGAAACCCUGACGCAGCAACGCCGCGUGGAGGAUGAAGCCCCUUGGGGCGUAAACUCCUUUCGAUCGGGAAGAUAAUGACGGUACCGGAAUAAGAAGCCCCGGCUAACUUCGUGCCAGCAGCCGC